AUUGAACGCUGGCGGCAUGCCUUACACAUGCAAGUCGAACGGUAACAGGGAGCUUGCUCCGCUGACGAGUGGCGAACGGGUGAGUAAUGUAUCGGAACGUACCUUUCAGUGGGGGAUAACGUAGCGAAAGUUACGCUAAUACCGCAUAUUCUGUGAGCAGGAAAGCAGGGGAUCGCAAGACCUUGCGCUGAUUGAGCGGCCGAUAUCAGAUUAGCUAGUUGGUGAGGUAAAGGCUCACCAAGGCGACGAUCUGUAGCGGGUCUGAGAGGAUGAUCCGCCACACUGGAACUGAGACACGGUCCAGACUCCUACGGGAGGCAGCAGUGGGGAAUUUUGGACAAUGGGGGCAACCCUGAUCCAGCCAUGCCGCGUGAGUGAAGAAGGCCUC
rnacentral:rRNA from 1 species